rnacentral:rRNA from 1 species
ACGCUGGCGGCAGGCCUAACACAUGCAAGUCGAGCGGUAGAGAGAAGCUUGCUUCUCUUGAGAGCGGCGGACGGGUGAGUAAUGCCUAGGAAUCUGCCUGGUAGUGGGGGAUAACGUUCGGAAACGGACGCUAAUACCGCAUACGUCCUACGGGAGAAAGCAGGGGACCUUCGGGCCUUGCGCUAUCAGAUGAGCCUAGGUCGGAUUAGCUAGUUGGUGGGGUAAUGGCUCACCAAGGCGACGAUCCGUAACUGGUCUGAGAGGAUGAUCAGUCACACUGGAACUGAGACACGGUCCAGACUCCUACGGGAGGCAGCAGUGGGGAAUAUUGGACAAUGGGCGAAAGCCUGAUCCAGCCAUGCCGCGUGUGUGAAGAAGGUCUUCGGAUUGUAAAGCACUUUAAGUUGGGAGGAAGGGUUGUAGAUUAAUACUCUGCAAUUUUGACGUUACCGACAGAAUAAGCACCGGCUAACUCUGUGCCAGCAGCCGCGGUAAUACAGAGGGUGCAAGCGUUAAUCGGAAUUACUGGGCGUAAAGCGCGCGUAGGUGGUUUGUUAAGUUGGAUGUGAAAUCCCCGGGCUCAACCUGGGAACUGCAUUCAAAACUGACUGACUAGAGUAUGGUAGAGGGUGGUGGAAUUUCCUGUGUAGCGGUGAAAUGCGUAGAUAUAGGAAGGAACACCAGUGGCGAAGGCGACCACCUGGACUGAUACUGACACUGAGGUGCGAAAGCGUGGGGAGCAAAC